AUACUUACCUGACGCGAGAGACACCUUGAUCAACUAGGAGGUCCUCUCAGGAUGAGGCCCUUUCAUUGCACUUCGACUGGGUUGACUCCUGCGAUUACCCCUAAUGUGGGUAACUCGAGCGUAUAAUUUCUGGUAGUGGGGACCUGCGUUCGCGCUCGUCCCCU
rnacentral:snRNA from 1 species